rnacentral:rRNA from 1 species
UACGAAGGGUGCAAACGUUGCUCGGAAUUAUUGGGCGUAAAGCGCACGUAGGCGGCAUUGCAAGUCUGAUGUGAAAUCCCUCGGCUUAACCAAGGAAGUGCAUCGGAAACUGCAGUGCUUGAGUACUAAAGAGGAUCGCGGAAUUCCCGGUGUAGAGGUGAAAUUCGUAGAUAUCAGGAAGAACACCGGUGGCGAAAGCGCUCUGCUAGGCCGCAACUGACACUGAGGGACGAAAGCUAGGGGAGCGAAUGGG